UACGUAGGGUGCAAGCGUUAAUCGGAAUUACUGGGCGUAAAGCGUGCGCAGGCGGUUUUGUAAGUCUGUCGUGAAAUCCCCGGGCUCAACCUGGGAAUUGCGAUGGAGACUGCAAGGCUAGAAUCUGGCAGAGGGGGGUAGAAUUCCACGUGUAGCAGUGAAAUGCGUAGAGAUGUGGAGGAACACCGAUGGCGAAGGCAGCCCCCUGGAUCAAGAUUGACGCUCAUGCACGAAAGCGUGGGGAGCAAACAGG
rnacentral:rRNA from 1 species